rnacentral:rRNA from 1 species
GUGCCAGCCGCCGCGGUAAUACGUAGGGGGCGAGCGUUGUCCGGAAUCACUGGGCGUAAAGGGUGCGUAGGCGGCAUAAUAAGUCAGAUGUGAAAUCCCAGGGCUUAACCCUGGAGUUGCAUUUGAAACUGUGAUGCUUGAGUGCAGGAGAGGGAAGCGGAAUUCCUAGUGUAGCGGUGAAAUGCGUAGAGAUUAGGAGGAACACCAGUGGCGAAGGCGGCUUUCUGGACUGUAACUGACGCUGAGGCACGAAAGCGUGGGGAGCGAACAGGAUUAGAUACCCUGGUAGUCCACGCCGUAAACGAUGGAUACUAGGUGUAGGCGGUUUCAAUACUGUCUGUGCCGUAGUUAACGCAAUAAGUAUCCCGCCUGGGGAGUACGGCCGCAAGGCUGAAACUCAAAUAAAUUGACGG